AAUGAACGCUAGCGGCAGGCUUAACACAUGAAAGUCGAGGGGUAUAGGUUUUCGGACCUAGAGACCGGCGCACGGGUGCGUAACGCGUAUGCAAUCUACCUUUCACAGAGGGAUAGCCCAGAGAAAUUUGGAUUAAUACCUCAUAGUAUAGCAGCUUCGCAUGAAACCACUAUUAAAGUUCCAACGGGGAAAGAUGAGCAUGCGUCACAUUAGUUAGAUGGUAAGGCAACGGCUUACCAUGGCUACGAUGGGUAGGGGUCAUGGGAGGGAGAUCCCCCGCACUGGGACUGAGAAACGGACCAGACUCCGACGGGAGGCAGGAGUGAGUAAUAUUGGUCAAUGGACGCAAGUCUGAACCAGCCAUGCGGCGUAUAGGAUGACGGUCCUAUGAAUUGUAAACUGCUUUUGUACGAGAAGAAACAACAUUACGUGUAAUGUCUUGACGGUAUCGUAAGAAUAAGGAUCGGCUAACUCCGUGCCAGCCGCCGCCGUAAGAC
rnacentral:rRNA from 1 species